GGAUGCAAUACCAUAAAAUGAAAAUAAUUCUUCUGUCAGAUAAAACGUCUUGCAGAUGGUGCAUGUAAAUAGUUCAGUAGCAAAUAAGUAUAUAUUGAGAGUUGUAAAUUUGAAACAGAAGCAAGCAGAAGAGAAAGGAGGAGGUCGGGUUCAUAGUGCCAAAAAGGUUUGAAAUGGAAAACGUAAAUAUUUGUAACCGCCAAUGCUAUACUACAUGAUCAACAGGUUGCCGAGUCAAGAUUAAUCUCCAUUUACAUGAUCCCAUCUAUCCUGGUACCCAGGUCUAUGCA
rnacentral:misc_RNA from 1 species